rnacentral:rRNA from 1 species
UACGAAGGGUGCAAGCGUUACUCGGAAUUACUGGGCGUAAAGCGUGCGUAGGCGGUUUGUUAAGUCCGCUGUGAAAGCCCUGGGCUCAACCUGGGAAUUGCAGUGGAUACUGGCAAGCUAGAGUGCGGUAGAGGGUAGUGGAAUUCCCGGUGUAGCGGUGAAAUGCGUAGAGAUCGGGAGGAACACCAGUGGCGAAGGCGGCUACCUGGACCAGCACUGACACUGAGGCACGAAAGCGUGGGGAGCAAACAGG